GGGAGGGACAAAGGAUGAGGGAGAAAGAGAGACUGUUCCAUCUACUGCUUGAUUCACUCUCUAAUUAUCCUAACAGCCAGGGCUAUGCCAGGCUGAAGCCAGAAGGAAAUAAUCUUACCUGCAUCUCUUUUGAGGGUUACAGGAACUCAAGUACUUAUCCAUCAUCCACUACCUCCCAGGUACAACAACAGGGUGUUUUAUUUUAAGUAUGGAAUAACCAGGAUGAAAACCACAAAUUUGCUUAUGGGAUGUGUGUCCCAAGCAAUAUUCUAACCUGCAUCACCAUAUACAACCCUCUCAAGUUUGGUGGUUUGCUCUGGCUCUUGCCCAAACCCUGUGUCUCCAAUAGGCAAGUCCCAGACUUCUUCAUAAUAUAAAUGUUUAAUAAGGUAAACUCCAAUAAUCAAGUACUUUUCAAAGUGUGUAGGUGUCAUAUUUACUGAUGUCCAGAUGUGUAAAGCAAGAAAAAUUGUAAUGCCAAGGAUCAUUGUGAUGAAGAUUAUUUGAAGGCUUGUGUGUUGGGAGGUGUGUUAUUUGGGAUAAUUACUAGGAAAGUAUAGUACAAUAAGUAUGUAUUAUAUCCAUUUUUACUGUACAGUUGUGGGUAAAAAUACACAGGUUGCUAAAUGAGUAAAUUCUAUAGGAUUUUCAGUAUAUGGAUGGACUCCUGUUCAGUACAUCUGUAGUAAUACCAAAGUAGUUAGUACCACUCAAGUAUUUUUUUUCUGUAGUAUGGUUUUAGUGACAAAAUGAUGUUUAUUUCUAUGAUAUACUGAAAUUUGUUUAAACAGUCAUCCUGAAAAUAAUAAAUUUCUUCUCAGUCAUAACAUUAGCUUUUUUAUUUAAAGAUAUAUUUUAUUUAUUAAAAAGACAGAGUUACAGAGAGAGGUAGAGACAGAGAGAGAGGUCUUCUAUCUGCUGGUUCACUCUCCAGAUGGCUGCAAUGGCUGGAGCUGCACUGAUCCAAAGCCAGGAGCUAGGAGCUUCUUCUGGGUCUUCCAUGUGGGUGCAGAGGCCCAAGGACUUGGGCCAUCUUCUACUGCUAUCCCAAGCCAUAGCAGACAGCAGGAUCAGAAGAGGAGCAGCUGGUACUAGAAUCAUUGCCCAUAUGGGAAGCUGGUGCUUCAGGCCAGGGCAUUAACCCACUGUGCUACAGUACCGGCCCUAUCACUUGCUUUUUAAAAAUAAGUAGCAACAAAAUGAUUCCAUUAACCUAAGGAUAACUAGAUUUAAUCACUGCCAGUUAGUAAAAUUUUGGGUGCUCUUUCAGGAUCUUCCCUUCCCCUUAUCAAGUGUAAAUUGCUAAAUCACCACAGAGAUUGUUUCUGUUUCUCCAGCUAAUAUAUCUAUAAUUCUGCAUUCAUUUCUAUCAUGAUCUUCCCUACAUUGUAGAGUCUAAGUGCAAGCGAGACCAGUUCUCUCACAACUCCCUGUAUUCACUUUCUUUUCCAGGUGUAAUUGUAGAUACCACUACAUGUUUCAGGGGCCAAAGAAAAUGAAUACAACACCAAUGUUGGUGUCAUUUGAAGACCUGGCUGUGGACAUCACUCAGGAGCAGUGACAGUACCUGGACAGUUCUCAGAGGACCCUGUACAAAGAUAUGAUGAUGGAGACCUACAAUAGCCUGUUGUUUUUGGGGUACUGCAAAAGCAAACCUGAGGUGAUCUUCAAGUUGGAACAGGGGACAGAGCCAUGGACAGUGACAAAACCCCUAAAUUGGAGCCUGUCAGCCCACAGAAGGGAUGACCUAUUGGGAACCAACUGGAAAAGUCAACAAAUAAAUUUGAGGCAA